rnacentral:rRNA from 1 species
GUUCGGAAUGAGUACGAUUCGAACCACCUAACGAGGAACGAUCGGAGGGCAAGUCUGGUGCCAGCAGCCGCGGUAAUUCCAGCUCCAAUAGCGUACGUUAAAGUUGCUGCAGUUAAAAAGCUCGUAGUUGAACGUUCGGGUUCCGCGGGACGGGGCCGCCCCGCGAGGGACGGCGCCGCCCCGGGGCUCGUGAUAUCUCAUCUCGCCGCCCGUCGCGAGGCGGACGGAGGGAUGGAUGAGGUUACCUGAAAAAAAAUCGGGGGCGAUCUAGGCGGGCGAACCUCGCCAACGAACGAUCGGACAUGGGAUAACGGAAGAGGGCGUCGGCUCGACUUCGUCGGUUCCUCGGGCCGAGGCACGUACGGUGAAUAGGGACGGUCGGGGCCGCCCGUACCGGGUCGUGAGAGGUGAAAUUCUAGGAUCGACCCGAGACGAACCGCCGCGAAAGCAUUCGGCAAGGACGUCUUUCUAUUAAUCAAGAACGAAAGUCGGGGGGAUCGAAGACGAUCAGAUACCGUCGUAGUCCCGAC